rnacentral:rRNA from 1 species
GUUUACAGCUAUGUCACAAUGAAAGCACUGAUUCUCAUCUGAUCACCUAAGUUAAAUAAUGUUGAGCCUAGUUAAUACUCAUAUGGGUGACUGUUUGGCAACCUAUGUGUACACA